AGACGGUGUCGCAUGACAGAUGUCGUUCGUUCAACUUUAGAAAGUCGAGGAAAAAACCAGGUUUAAAAUAUAUAUACGGCCGAAAAUGCAACUGCUUUUAACUUGGAGGAAGAAUCGUUUGUUCAAGGGCUGUAUAUUUUGAGAAGAAUGCAGGAGAAACUUAUACAACAGCUUAAAAAAGAAGUAGGUUUAAAGAGCGGCCAUUUUGUCUUAGAACCUUUUCCAUUUGCGGCUAUUUGCAUUUGUUUGCCUUUUUUUAAGCUUGCCUUUAAGCCUAAAAGAUUUUUGUCGUUGUAUUUAUUUUACAAAAGCGCGAUAGAGCGUUUGCUUUGGUUUAUAAUAUACAUAUUUAGUUGUAUUUUUUAGCUUAGGAUAUCUCGUCUAGUGUUCAAUUUGUUUACCUCAAAAGUUUGUAAUCUAAUUUAGGUGAAACAGAUUGUCGAGGAAGCAGUAACUCGGAAAUUUAUCCAUGCCGAUAGCACAAGC